rnacentral:lncRNA from 1 species
CUGGUUUCUGGCUUUGUGCACGUCUCUGAUCUGAAUAUCUUCAGAUGGUGUCUGGGACUCUCUGAGAUAGCCAGAACAUCAGGAACUUCAGUCCUGGUGGAUGCUGGGAUCUGUAACCAUCUUCCUGUGGAACUCUAGUCCCAACCUGACAGCUUAACAGUGGCUCAGACACCUGAAAAUGCCAACGGGUAUUUGGCAAAGGGGCAGAGCUGCCAGACACAUCUUAAAAUUUAUUGAUUUCAGUGCAGGAUUGAGCAUCUUCAACUAGGAUUCUGCUCCUGGCUUUGUCACUGGUCACUUGUCAUCUUUGGAUAGGACACCGCCUUUACCAUGCCUCUGCUGCCUCUUCCGUAAAAUGAAGUGAGAAAGAAGCUCCUGUAUCUCAUGGGGAUGAUGACAACCACUCCCCUCUGUCAACUCCUCUCUUUUGCCAUUUGAUUUCACAAGAAGAAUCGGGUCAGUGCACUGAAUGACUGUCUGGUUUCUGUAGGACCUGCUGGAAGUGGCUCAGAAGAGCACAGUCAUGCUAAGCCAGCUCUCCUGCAGGUAGAGCUGUGCCACUGGGAGGCAUGACCUCACUGAGGGCUGCUGUGAGACAUGGCUCUGCAUCCUAUUUUGCUUCUUUGGCAAGGUCAUGUUCCAGUAGGUGUGAGGCCGUGGUACAGCUUGCCUGAGGUGGCACAGCAGGGGGGCAAGUCAAGAUCAUGCUCAAGGUGUCCUCGCCGCAUGCUGCACUGCUGCUGCCUUGCUCCCUCACAUGGACAUUUCCCAGAAGCCCGUGAAGGUUGGUCACAUUGAGGUCAGUUGGCAACAGAAGACCAAAAAGUUAUAAAGUUUACCUCUCAUGGCAAGUUAGCUUGCUUUCAUUUCAUGUUUCCACC